UACGUAGGGGGCAAGCGUUGUCCGGAUUUAUUGGGCGUAAAGCGCUCGCAGGGCGGCUCGAUGCGUCGUGCGUGAAACACCCCGGCUCAACUGGGGAGGGUCGUGCGAUACGGUCGGCUUGAGGCCAGUAGGGGGAUGCGGAAUUCCGGGGUGUAGUGGUGGAAUGCGUAGAGAUCCGGAGGAACACCAGCGGCGAAGGCGGCAUCCUGGACUGGUCCUGACG
rnacentral:rRNA from 1 species